UUUGAGACAUUUAUUCUGAGCCAAAGAUGAAUGGCCGGGGGCCCAUGACAGCCCCAGGAGACCCUCAGACCAUGUGUUCAAGGUGGUCGGGCCACAGCUAGGUUUCAUACAUUUUAGGGGGACACAAGGCAUCAAUCAAUACACAUAAGCUGUACAUUGGUUACGCCUAGAAAGGCGGAACCACCGGAAGCGGGGAUGCUUCCAGGUCAUAGGUGGAUUCGAAGAUUUUCUGAUUGGCCGUUGGUUGAAAGAGUUAUUGUCGGUAGAUAGGAAUGUCUGGGUUAAGAUAAUGGGUUGUGCAGACCGAGGUUUCAUCAUGCAGAUGAAGCCUCCAGGCAGCAGACUGCAGAGAGAAUGGAUGGGAGAUGUUUAUUAUCAGACUGAAAGACUGUUCUGCCAGUCAUUCCAAAAGGGAGGGGGGAUAACAAGCACGGUGGCUUCAGGUCCCUCCGCAUUAUCGCAUGUGCCAGUGCUUUGCUCCUUUUUACACCUGAGUAAUCGUCCACUGUGGAGUCAUCCUUUCAGCUGCUGAGAGAUGCGUGGGCAGUUUCCACCUGCAGCCAUCGUGAGUAGUCGGGUGAGGCUGCUGAAGCAGACGAAAUUCACAAAUCCUACAAUUCUAAGCUCUCAGAACCCUUGGAUCUGAAGGUUCUCAAAUGCUAAGGUUUCUAGAUGUUAGCAGACGAAGGUGUCAAGACGCAUGGGAUCUACGAUGCAGAGUUCUGAGUGGGGAUAUGCGUCCCCCACCCCGACUCACCCCACGACACAUAUCAGUAACAGCCUCUGCAACUCCGCCUUGGUGCCCCCGCACGUUCCAGGGGCAGCCACACUGAUGGAUUGCUCAGAACGGGCUGGAGCCGCAUCUCCACUUCUGCCCCGACAGUUCCUGCUGCAGCAGAUGCCCUUCCAGAUGCAAACUCCUACGCAUCCUUCAAAACCCAGCUAAAUGUCACUUCCUCCGGAAAGCCUUCCCCACCUCUCUAGCAGGCAGUUGAGCCCAGCUUACAUUUCCGACAGGCCCUCACUGCCCGGGAUUGCAGCUGCGGGCUCCUUGAGGGCAGGGAUUGUCCCUCAUUCAUCCUGAUUCCAUGCCAAGGCUUAUAGUAGGUGCUCAAUAAAUGCUUGCUGAAUGAUAGAUGGGCUGUGUGUGGUGCUAAGUUGAAUGCCUUGUCCCUUUCCCACAAUUUCAUCUCAACCACCCAAGAAUUUAGCGUGAGUAUGGCUGUUUUACUAAGGAGCAAACAGGCUUACAGAGGUGAACUCACCUGCUCCAAGGUCACACAACAGUCAAGGGCUGGACCUGGGAUUUGGUCCCAGCCCCGCAAACACAGCCCCACUACGUACCUAGCAUGGGCUCAGGUAGGCCCUAGGGGUGGG
rnacentral:lncRNA from 10 species